UACGAAGGGUGCAAGCGUUACUCGGAAUUACUGGGCGUAAAGCGUGCGUAGGUGGUUUGUUAAGUCUGAUGUGAAAGCCCUGGGCUCAACCUGGGAACGGCAUUGGAAACUGGCUUACUAGAGUGCGGUAGAGGGGUGUGGAAUUCCCGGUGUAGCAGUGAAAUGCGUAGAUAUCGGGAGGAACAUCUGUGGCGAAGGCGACACCCUGGACCAGCACUGACACUGAGGAACGAAAGCCAGGGGAGCGAACGGG
rnacentral:rRNA from 1 species